rnacentral:lncRNA from 1 species
AUGAAACUCCGAUUCUUUCGAAACCAAAAUCUUAACGUUGAUUUAAGAUUGCUUUUGCAGAAAGCACUUCUAACCAUAACCAUUUUUGCUAAAAGUGAUUUUAGUAUUAACUAAUAGAAAUUUUUCAUGAAAACAUGCUUAUCCAAGAUGUGCGUUUAAAAUUUUCUACUGAAUGUAGUUAAAAGCACUUAUGGUUGUCAAAAAUCACUUUUAGCCCCUAUAGGACCAAUCUCAAACAGGGCAUUAGUGUUUGCAAUAGAUCGGAUCCUAUAAUAGUAGGCCUGGCAAACGGGUCGUGUCAGUCGUGUUCGUGUCGUUUUCGUGUAACACCUGUUAUCUUAACGGG